CAAAUGAAUGAGACAAGUUGUGUCUUCUGGUGACUAAAGGGUGACUGAAUGCCGGUUCCAUGCUCGGGGCCAUGGGGACAGACGGCUGGCUGAGCCGGGGGAUAGCAUGGUGGAGGGAAAGAGCACAGACACUGGAAAUGGCUGUAACAGGGACUUUCUUACGAGAACAUAGCUUCUCUUUCUGAAAGAGUCUAAGCUUCUGGAGAAAGACUAAUGAUAAUAGGAUAGCUAAUGGGAAGAGAUGGGUUUUGGUUGAGAUACAAUAUUGAAAUACAAUAUUUGAAGUGAAUACAAACACACACCUACUUUAUCAAAGAUGAGUUGUAUAAAGGCCCCAGUUCAGUAUCUGACACAGAGCAGGCUCUCAGUACAGCAAAAUCAAAUCUUGUAUAAGAUACAAUACAAAACAAUACCAUCGAGUCUCUGUCCAUAUGAAACCUAGCGUCCAGUAGGAGAGACAGACCCACUUGGAGGCUGAGAGACAGAAAGUGGCUCCCUAACAUCACACGGCUGGAGAGAAGAUGCAUGAUUUCCUGAAUAAUCUCACCUGCACUUGGAACCUGACUUGGGAAUGCACCUGCUGUGAAGGUCCAAGACUCUGCAGAUAUUCUUAUUGCCAAGGUUUAUGGGACAAGCAGAAAUGCAGGAUGGAUGAGCUACAAUUUACAAGAGUAGUAAACCCACUGUUGCACUAAAAAUACCCCUCCCAAAGAACAAUAAAUAACUUCUCCCUGAGAUGAGGGCUGUGUUCCUGA